AAUGAUAAGAUUUAUGAUGACUAUUGAUUUUUCUUUAAACUGUAGAGAAGGUAUAGAGAAAAGGCAUGGGAAUGUGAGGAAAAAGAUCGGUUGAAUAAAUGUGUCAUAUUUAAUCUCUUGAAAGUUUGUUGUUUAAAGAAAAUGGGCUUCGUUGUAAUAUGAUUAGAGAACGGGCUUCGAUUAAAGUUGGAUUUUAUUUAGGCUUGUUAAACUCAAAGUGAUGUGUAACUUUGAUUGGAUAGAAAUAUUUUUACUGAUGUGGCAUAGCUUAGGAAUCUCUAAAUUAGUUCCUUUUAUAUAGUAGAGAUAAUUUUUUCAGUUUCAGAAAAUGAAGGAUUGAUUUUUUUUGUUUAAUGAUAACGGAAAAACCGUUUGUUUUAGUUAUUUGUCCUGUAUUGAAACUUCAUCUUAUUUUUAAAUUCAUCCACGUGUUUUGUUUUUUUAUUUUUCUGGAAAUUUUUGUUUUAAAGAUUUUCCACAUGUUAGGAUUGGGCGUGCGACUUGCGCUUUAGUAUAUAGUGGAUAGAAAUUUUUCAAACUUCAUAUAUGGUUGACAUCUAAGCGAAAAUUAACUAAAUGACUUAUUUUUUUAAUAUUUAGUAUAAUGCACAAAUAGUUUUUGAUUGAAUAUA
rnacentral:lncRNA from 1 species